AUUGAACGCUGGCGGCAGGCUUAACACAUGCAAGUCGAGCGGAGCGAGGGUGCUUGCACCUUAGCUUAGCGGCGGACGGGUGAGUAAUGCUUAGGAAUCUGCCUAUUAGUGGGGGACAACAUUCCGAAAGGAAUGCUAAUACCGCAUACGCCCUACGGGGGAAAGCAGGGGAUCUUCGGACCUUGCGCUAAUAGAUGAGCCUAAGUCGGAUUAGCUAGUUGGUGGGGCAAAGGCCUACCAAGGCGACGAUCUGUAGCGGGUCUGAGAGGAUGAUCCGCCACACUGGGACUGAGACACGGCCCAGACGCCUACGGGAGGCAGCAGUGGGGAAUAUUGGACAAUGGGCGGAAGCCUGAUCCAGCCAUGCCGCGUGUGUGAAGAAGGCCUUUUGGUUGUAAAGCACUUUAAGCGAGGAGGAGGCUACUUAGAUUAAUACUCUGGGAUAGUGGACGUUACCCGCAGAAUAAGCACCGGCUAACUCUGUGCCAGCCGCCGCGGUAAUAC
rnacentral:rRNA from 1 species